CAUGCAGUCGAGCGAUGGAUAAGAGCUUGCUCUUAUGAAGUUAGCGGCGGACGGGUGAGUAACACGUGGGUAACCUACCCAUAAGACUGGGAUAACUCCGGGAAACCGGGGCUAAUACCGGAUAAUAUUUUGAACUGCAUAGUUCGAAAUUGAAAGGCGGCUUCGGCUGUCACUUAUGGAUGGACCCGCGUCGCAUUAGCUAGUUGGUGAGGUAACGGCUCACCAAGGCGACGAUGCGUAGCCGACCUGAGAGGGUGAUCGGCCACACUGGGACUGAGACACGGCCCAGACUCCUACGGGAGGCAGCAGUAGGGAAUCUUCCGCAUGGACGAAGUCUGACGGAGCACGCCGCGUGAGUGAUGAGGCUUUCGGGUCGUAAACUCUGUUGUUAGGGAAGAACAAGUGCUAGUUGAAUAAGCUGGCMCUUGACGGUACCUAACCAGAAASCACGGCUACUACGUGCCAGCAGCCGCGGUAUACGUAGUGGCAGCGUUUCCGGAAUAUUGGGCGUAAGCGCGCGCAGUGGUUCUUAGUCUGAUGUGAAGCCACGGCUCACCGUGGAGGGCAUUGGAACUGGGAGACUGAGU
rnacentral:rRNA from 1 species